rnacentral:rRNA from 1 species
UACGAAGGGUGCAAGCGUUACUCGGAAUUACUGGGCGUAAAGGGCUCGUAGGCGGCCAACUAAGUCGGAUGUGAAAUCCCCAGGCUUAACCUGGGAACUGCAUCCGAUACUGGAAGGCUUGAAUCCGGGAGAGGGAUGCGGAAUUCCAGGUGUAGCGGUGAAAUGCGUAGAUAUCUGGAGGAACACCGGUGGCGAAGGCGGCAUCCUGGACCGGCAUUGACGCUGAGGCGCGAAAGCCAGGGGAGCAAACGGG